GCGGGAGUAGCUCAGUUGGUUAGAGCGGCCGGUUGUGGUCCGGCAGGUCGUGGGUUCAAAACCCAUCUCUCGCCCCA
rnacentral:tRNA from 1 species